GCGCGGGGCCCAAACUGUGCGCUCGAAAGAGCCCAAGUCCCCCAGAAAACUCGAGGACGCAAAAAUCGACCCCAAACGUUUUCUUUUUGUUCCCUGUUUUAGUGUUUCAGCGCGGGGCCCCAAAGAGCCCAAGGUCCCCAGAAAACGUUAUAGGCCCAAACGUUAUAGGCCAAAAUUUAAAAAUAGAGGACCCAAAGUGAGGGGCCCCAAACGAUUUUUUUGUUCUCUUUUUUAGCGCGGGGC